AUNNUGCCCUAGGACGACGCUGGCGGCGUGCUUAACACAUGCAAGUCGAGCGGAGUAAAGGGGAGCUUGCUUUUCUUUACUUAGCGGCGGACGGGUGAGUAACACGUGGGCAACCUACCCUAUGGAGGGGAAUAACAGGGAGAAAUCUUUGCUAAUACCGCAUAAAUCCAAAGCUUCGCAUGAAGUAAUGGAUAAAGGAGAAAUCCGCCAUAGGAUGGGCCCGCGUCCCAUUAGCUAGUUGGUGAGAUAACAGCCCACCAAGGCGACGAUGGGUAGCCGACCUGAGAGGGUGAACGGCCACAUUGGAACUGAGAGACGGUCCAAACCCUACGGGAGGCAACAGUGGGGAAUAUUGCACAAUGGGGGGAACCCUGAUGCAGCAACGCCGCGUGAGCGAUGAAGGUCUUCGGAUUGUAAAACUCUGUCUUUCCUGACAAAAAAGGCCGGUAAGCGAGGAGGAAGCCCCCCGCUAACUACCUGGCCCACAGCCCCCGGUAAUACCUAAGUGGCGAGCGUUUGUCCCGAAAUACUGGGGCGUAAAAGGGGCCGAAGGCGGGUUUUUUAGUGGGGAUGUGGAAAUCCCGAGGGUUAACUUUCCAAAUGGAUUCCCAACUGGGAGGGUUGAGUACAGGGGAGGAAAGCGGAAUUCCCCCUGUAGCCGUGAAAUGCGUAAAGAUUGGGAGGAAAACCACUGGGGAAAGGGGGUUUNUGGACUGUAACUGACGCUGAGGCACCAAAGCGUGGGGGAGCCAACAGGAAUAGAUACCCCUGGUAGUCCACGCCGCAAACAAUGAAUACUAAGUGUGGGGGGGCUGAGCCCUCCUGUGGCCCAGUUAACACACUUAAGUAUUCCGCCUGGGGGAGUACCAUCGCAAGAUUAAAACUCCAAAGGAAUUGACGGGGGGCCGCGCCAACACCGAGCAUGUGGGUUUAUUUCAUUCCACGCG
rnacentral:rRNA from 1 species